rnacentral:misc_RNA from 1 species
GGGGGAGAAGCCGCGAGAAACAGUCAUUACGCACGAUUGACGAUUGGUAAGAAUCCACAACAAGUUGUUCUUCAUAGAUGUAUCUGAGGGUCUGUAGCUCAGUUGGUUAGAGCACACGGCUUGAUAAGCGUGGGGUCACAAGUUCAAGUCUUGUCAGACCCACCAUGACUUUGACUGGUUGAAGUUAUAGAUAAAAGAUACAUGAUUGAUGAUGUAAGCUGGGGACUUAGCUUAGUUGGUAGAGCGCCUGCUUUGCACGCAGGAGGUCAGGAGUUCGACUCUCCUAGUCUCCACCAGAACUUAAGAUAAGUUCGGAUUACAGAAAUUAGUAAAUAAAGAUUAAGAUCUUGGUUUAUUAACUUCUGUGUUUCAUUAUCACGGUAAUUAGUGUGAUCUGACGAAGACACAUUAACUCAUUAACAGAUUGGCAAAAUUGAGUCUGAAAUAAAUUGUUCACUCAAGAGUUUAGGUUAAGCAAUUAAUCUAGAUGAAUUGAGAACUAGCAAAUUAACUGAAUCAAGCGUUUUGGUAUGUGAAUUUAGAUUGAAGCUGUACGGUGCUUAAGUGCACAGUGCUCUAAACUGAAAUGUUGAAGUUACUAACUUGUAGGUAACAUCGACUGUUUGGGGUUGUAUAGUCAAGUAAUUAAGUGCAUGUGGUGGAUGCCUUGGCAGUCAGAGGCGAUGAAAGACGUGAUAGCCUGCGAAAAGCUCCGGGGAGGCGGCAAAUAUCCUUUGACGGAGAUUUCUGACGGGGGAACCCCAAACACAAACUCCUUUUUUCACC